rnacentral:rRNA from 1 species
GUACACUCCUACGGGAGGCAGCAGUGGGGAAUAUUGCACAAUGGGCGCAAGCCUGAUGCAGCCAUGCCGCGUGUAUGAAGAAGGCCUUCGGGUUGUAAAGUACUUUCAGCGGGGAGGAAGGCGAUAAGGUUAAUAACCUUGUUGAUUGACGUUACCCGCAGAAGAAGCACCGGCUAACUCCGUGCCAGCAGCCGCGGUAAUACGGAGGGUGCAAGCGUUAAUCGGAAUUACUGGGCGUAAAGCGCACGCAGGCGGUCUGUCAAGUCGGAUGUGAAAUCCCCGGGCUCAACCUGGGAACUGCAUUCGAAACGGGCAGGCUAGAGUCUUGUAGAGGGGGGUAGAAUUCCAGGUGUAGCGGUGAAAUGCGUAGAGAUCUGGAGGAAUACCGGUGGCGAAGGCGGCCCCCUGGACAAAGACUGACGCUCAGGUGCGAAAGCGUGGGGAGCAAACAGGAUUAGAUACCCUUGUAGUCC